rnacentral:rRNA from 1 species
GGGUUGUGAGGUUAAGCGACUAAGCGUACACGGUGGAUGCCCUGGCAGUCAGAGGCGAUGAAGGACGUGCUAAUCUGCGAUAAGCGUCGGUGAGGUGAUAUGAACCGUUAUAACCGGCGAUUUCCGAAUGGGGAAACCCAGUGUGUUUCGACACACUAUCAUUAACUGAAUCCAUAGGUUAAUGAGGCGAACCGGGGGAACUGAAACAUCUAAGUACCCCGAGGAAAAGAAAUCAACCGAGAUUCCCCCAGUAGCGGCGAGCGAACGGGGAGGAGCCCAGAGCCUGAAUCAGUGUGUGUGUUAGUGGAAGCGUCUGGAAAGGCGCGCGAUACAGGGUGACAGCCCCGUACACAAAAAUGCACAUAUUGUGAGCUCGAUGAGUAGGGCGGGACACGUGGUAUCCUGUCUGAAUAUGGGGGGGCCAUCCUCCAAGGCUAAAUACUCCUGACUGACCGAUAGUGAACCAGUACCGUGAGGGAAAGGCGAAAAGAACCCCGGCGAGGGGAGUGAAAAAGAACCUGAAACCGUGUACGUACAAGCAGUGGGAGCCUCUUUAUGGGGUGACUGCGUACCUUUUGUAUAAUGGGUCAGCGACUUAUAUUCUGUAGCAAGGUUAACCGAAUAGGGGAGCCGAAGGGAAACCGAGUCUUAACUGGGCGUUAAGUUGCAGGGUAUAGACCCGAAACCCGGUGAUCUAGCCAUGGGCAGGUUGAAGGUUGGGUAACACUAACUGGAGGACCGAACCGACUAAUGUUGAAAAAUUAGCGGAUGACUUGUGGCUGGGGGUGAAAGGCCAAUCAAACCGGGAGAUAGCUGGUUCUCCCCGAAAGCUAUUUAGGUAGCGCCUCGUGAAUUCAUCUCCGGGGGUAGAGCACUGUUUCGGCAAGGGGGUCAUCCCGACUUACCAACCCGAUGCAAACUGCGAAUACCGGAGAAUGUUAUCACGGGAGACACACGGCGGGUGCUAACGUCCGUCGUGAAGAGGGAAACAACCCAGACCGCCAGCUAAGGUCCCAAAGUCAUGGUUAAGUGGGAAACGAUGUGGGAAGGCCCAGACAGCCAGGAUGUUGGCUUAGAAGCAGCCAUCAUUUAAAGAAAGCGUAAUAGCUCACUGGUCGAGUCGGCCUGCGCGGAAGAUGUAACGGGGCUAAACCAUGCACCGAAGCUGCGGCAGCGACACUAUGUGUUGUUGGGUAGGGGAGCGUUCUGUAAGCCUGUGAAGGUGGCCUGUGAGGGUUGCUGGAGGUAUCAGAAGUGCGAAUGCUGACAUAAGUAACGAUAAAGCGGGUGAAAAGCCCGCUCGCCGGAAGACCAAGGGUUCCUGUCCAACGUUAAUCGGGGCAGGGUGAGUCGACCCCUAAGGCGAGGCCGAAAGGCGUAGUCGAUGGGAAACAGGUUAAUAUUCCUGUACUUGGUGUUACUGCGAAGGGGGGACGGAGAAGGCUAUGUUGGCCGGGCGACGGUUGUCCCGGUUUAAGCGUGUAGGCUGGUUUUCCAGGCAAAUCCGGAAAACCAAGGCUGAGGCGUGAUGACGAGGCACUACGGUGCUGAAGCGACAAAUGCCCUGCUUCCAGGAAAAGCCUCUAAGCAUCAGGUAACAUCAAAUCGUACCCCAAACCGACACAGGUGGUCAGGUAGAGAAUACCAAGGCGCUUGAGAGAACUCGGGUGAAGGAACUAGGCAAAAUGGUGCCGUAACUUCGGGAGAAGGCACGCUGAUAUGUAGGUGAAGCGACUUGCUCGUGGAGCUGAAAUCAGUCGAAGAUACCAGCUGGCUGCAACUGUUUAUUAAAAACACAGCACUGUGCAAACACGAAAGUGGACGUAUACGGUGUGACGCCUGCCCGGUGCCGGAAGGUUAAUUGAUGGGGUUAGCGGUAACGCGAAGCUCUUGAUCGAAGCCCCGGUAAACGGCGGCCGUAACUAUAACGGUCCUAAGGUAGCGAAAUUCCUUGUCGGGUAAGUUCCGACCUGCACGAAUGGCGUAAUGAUGGCCAGGCUGUCUCCACCCGAGACUCAGUGAAAUUGAACUCGCUGUGAAGAUGCAGUGUACCCGCGGCAAGACGGAAAGACCCCGUGAACCUUUACUAUAGCUUGACACUGAACAUUGAGCCUUGAUGUGUAGGAUAGGUGGGAGGCUUUGAAGUGUGGACGCCAGUCUGCAUGGAGCCGACCUUGAAAUACCACCCUUUAAUGUUUGAUGUUCUAACGUUGGCCCGUAAUCCGGGUUGCGGACAGUGUCUGGUGGGUAGUUUGACUGGGGCGGUCUCCUCCUAAAGAGUAACGGAGGAGCACGAAGGUUGGCUAAUCCUGGUCGGACAUCAGGAGGUUAGUGCAAUGGCAUAAGCCAGCUUGAUUGCGAGCGUGACGGCGCGAGCAGGUGCGAAAGCAGGUCAUAGUGAUCCGGUGGUUCUGAAUGGAAGGGCCAUCGCUCAACGGAUAAAAGGUACUCCGGGGAUAACAGGCUGAUACCGCCCAAGAGUUCAUAUCGACGGCGGUGUUUGGCACCUCGAUGUCGGCUCAUCACAUCCUGGGGCUGAAGUAGGUCCCAAGGGUAUGGCUGUUCGCCAUUUAAAGUGGUACGCGAGCUGGGUUUAGAACGUCGUGAGACAGUUCGGUCCCUAUCUGCCGUGGGCGCUGGAGAACUGAGGGGGGCUGCUCCUAGUACGAGAGGACCGGAGUGGACGCAUCACUGGUGUUCGGGUUGUCAUGCCAAUGGCACUGCCCGGUAGCUAAAUGCGGAAGAGAUAAGUGCUGAAAGCAUCUAAGCACGAAACUUGCCCCGAGAUGAGUUCUCCCUGAGACUUAGAGUCUCCUGAAGGAACGUUGAAGACGACGACGUUGAUAGGCCGGGUGUGUAAGCGCAGCGAUGCGUUGAGCUAACCGGUACUAAUGAACCGUGAGGCUUAACCUUACAACGCCGAAG